rnacentral:rRNA from 1 species
GACGAACGCUGGCGGCGUGCCUAAUACAUGCAAGUCGAACGCAGUGGGGACGGGUGAGUAACACGUGGGUUACCUCGCAUCAGAGGGGAUAACACUUGGUAACAGGUGCUAAACCGAUACUGAUGGAUGCACCCGCGGUGCAUUAGCUAGUUGGUGAGGUAACGGAUCACAAAGGCCACGAUGCAUAGCCGACCUGAGAGGGUGAUCGGCCACACUGGGACUGAGACACGGCCCAGACUCCUACGGGAGGCAGCAGUAGGGAAUCUUCGGCAAUGGGCGAAAGUCUGACCGAGCAACGCCGCGUGAGUGAAGAAGGUUUUCGGAUCGUAAAACUCUGUUAUUAGAGAAGCGGUAUCUAACCAGAAAGCCACGGCUAACUACGUGCCAGCCGCCGCGGUAAUAC